ACUUUGAUUAUGGCUCGGGAUGAACGCUAGCGGUAGGCUUAAUACAUGCAAGUCGUACGGUAGAAUUUACUUCGGUAAAUUUGAGAGUGGCGCACGGGUGCGUAACACGUAUGUAACCUGCCCUGUAGAGAGGGAUAGCCCGAAGAAAUUUGGAUUAAUACCCUCGUGGUCUUGUUCGGUGGCAUCACCGAAUAAGUAAAGGAGCAAUUUGCUACAGGAUGGACAUGCGCAAGAUUAGAUAGUUGGUAAGGUAACGGCUUACCAAGUCAAUGAUCUUUAGGGGUUCUGAGAGGAAGGUCCCCCACACUGGCACUGAGAUACGGGCCAGACUCCUACGGGAGGCAGCAGUAGGGAAUAUUGGACAAUGGAGGCAACUCUGAUCCAGCCAUACCGCGUGAAGGAAGACGGUCCUCUGGAUUGUAAACUUCUUUUAUAUAGGAAGAACCAUAGUUUUGCGAAACUAAUUUGACGGUACUAUAUGAAUAAGCCCCGGCUAACUACGUGCCAC
rnacentral:rRNA from 1 species